rnacentral:rRNA from 1 species
UACAGAGGUCUCAAGCGUUGUUCGGAUUCAUUGGGCGUAAAGGGUGCGUAGGCGGCUUCUUAAGUCGGUGGUGAAAUCCUGGAGCUCAACUCCAGAACUGCCUCGAUACUGGGAGCUCGAGUCCGGGAGAGGUGAGUGGAACUGCGAGUGUAGAGGUGAAAUUCGUAGAUAUUCGCAAGAACACCAGUGGCGAAGGCGGCUCACUGGCCCGGUACUGACGCUGAGGUGCGAAAGGCGUGGGGAGCAAACAGG